rnacentral:rRNA from 1 species
AUGAAAGAGGAGAGGCAUAGAAAAUAUUUAAAAAAAGCAGCAUGGAUGCCUAGCCUAAUGGAGGCUGGUGCUGCAGCAUCGACCGCCCGACCAGAGCCAGCUCCUCUCCGGAGGAGACAUGGCCGUCGUGGGAUUCCCGUCGGCGGAGCAGGGGUGCGGGGGUCCCGGGCUCCCGGUAGCAGGAGGUCAGGCGGUUGGCUUGGUUCCUGUCACAACGAGAGAGAGACGGGAGGGGAAAAGGGAAGGAUCGAGCGAUGGAAAGAGGAAAUGGAGGAGGCCGACAGUGGUCUGAUGGCCUGCUAUGGCGAGGAGCUCGCCUCCUGA